rnacentral:tRNA from 1 species
UCCCUUGUGGCUCAGCUGGUAAAGCGUCUGCCUGCAGUGCAGGAGGCCUGGGUUCAAUCCCUGGGUUGAGAA